AAGUCGUAACAAGGUAACCGUAGGUGAACCUGCGGUUGGAUCAUUAAAAAAUAAAACUUCAUUGCCCAAAAUCAAUUGCCAACUGAGGAUCUUUAAUUGGAUGGUUGAUGACCCUUAGGUUGUCCCAUGGUUGAUGACCCACCGGUUGUCCCAUGGUUGAUGUAAUCAGUCCUAAGUUGUCCCACUUUUUAAAUCGAAGCCUCUAAAGGAACCACAAUUGAUUUUGUGUGCCAAUGUCGACAACUUGUGAACCGUUUCGUCUCUGGCGAGUUGGGGAGCCUAAAAAGCUACUUGUCAGCAGUGCACUUGUGCAUUGCCGUGGACAAGCUCGCCACCCUUUUUUUUUAACUUUAAUUUUGUUACUUUGAUGUCUGACAUUUAUUUUUAUAAUACAAAAACAACUUUUGGCAACGGAUCUCUUGGCUCUC
rnacentral:misc_RNA from 1 species